AUUGAACGCUGGCGGCAGGCCUAACACAUGCAAGUCGAACGAGUGGCGGACGGGUGAGUAAUGUCUGGGAAACUGCCUGAUGGAGGGGGAUAACUACUGGAAACGGUAGCUAAUACCGCAUACCAUCAGAUGUGCCCUGAUGGGAUUAGCUAGUUGGUGGGGUAACGGCUCACCAAGGCAACGAUCACUAGCUGGUCUGAGAGGAUGACCAGCAACACGGGAACUGAGAGACGGUCCGGACGCCGACGGGAGGCAGCAGUGGGGAAUUUUGCACAAUGGGCGAAAGCCUGAUGAAGCCAUGCCGCGUGUAUGAAGAAGGCCUUCGGGUUGUAAAGUACUUUCAGCGGGGAGGCGUUACCCGAAGAAGAAGCACCGGCUAACUCCGUGCCAGCAGCCGCGGUAAUAC
rnacentral:rRNA from 1 species